rnacentral:lncRNA from 1 species
CCGCCCGCGCCGCCACAUCGUCACUCAGCCUGCUCUGCUCGGCGCGUAGGCUAGCUCUGCUCUUUGCCGCCGCCUAGCGAUGCCGGAGGAGCCUGGGAAGCGGGAGCUGCCAGACCGCCCGUCACGAACCAAUGGCCGGUGUCCUAUCUCAUCAUGUUAAAUCUUCUCUUCUGCUAACUGACUCUGACAAUCUCGAAUGGGAUGUCUUAUGGCUUCGAUCCAUUGCACGUGAGCUUGAUUUUGACAGUAAGCAACUAGAUUGGUGAUUGAAUUUGUGGGGAUUCGAUUCAAUUCACUCGACUCCUAAUCGCUCUCUGAAGCUCUCAAGGUCAACGCCGCCGCCACCAAACCUGGUCCGGCCUUCCAGUCCGGCACAGCCUUCACCCCGCCACCGUCGCCAACCUCAACCCGGGCUUCAACUUUCUGGUGAUGCGGGAGGUUGGGAGCAGCCAGAGUGGUAGGGGCUGGCCUGCGCACCAUAGCUGAUAUAGCUGCGGUCGUAGAGCGUGUGUCGAGCGGCGGUGCGACUCCGGCGAGGUGGAGCCCAGCUCGAAGUCCUCCUCAGCAAGGUGCCGCAGGGCUCCAUCCGUCUGGCUGUUCCCGUCAAGAAACAGGAGGAGCGCUGGCCUGAGCUUGGCCAUGGCCGACGUUGGUGGCACAGGUGUACCACUAAUGCGGCAGUGGAAAGGGAAGGCGCGUUGGGGAAUAAGGAGAGGAGAAGCAAGUUGAAGCGGCACGCGUGGCUAUAGAGGUUAGUCGCCGGUUAUGGGCAGGCGGCGGCGGAUGAGAUUCGUCGCCGGUGAUGACCGGCGCACAGGCCAGGAAGAAGCAGCAGCUCGGGAAAAGAUAUUUGGGGAAGAGCACUUGCUCACAGGUGGUGACCCCAACUUCUCACCUGCUGCCCAAGCGAGCCUGCAUCGCGUGAAA